AGCGAGGUCCCGGGCCAGGCAGGGAGUUGCAUUCUGAUCGACUUUCGCCGUCUGCACUUGCCCGAGGGCGGCCCUAGGGGCUCCAGAUGAGUCAGCCUGAGGCACAGAGACACGAAGCCUCCUGCUCCAGGUCGCACGUGAGGAAGUGGCAGUGCUGGGAUGGGAACACAGGCUGCAGACCCAGACCUGAAUCAGGAUGCUCUUCUGGCUUCCUUAGUUCCCAGCCCCACCGAGGACCCCUCCCUGUCCCCAGCCUGGGGGGUGGGGGCGGGGGGGGGCAGCCACUCACACAUUGGAGCUCCAGUUUCCUGAAGAUGAGUGGCAGCAGGAAGAGGCGGAGGGGCACCGUGAGGAUGAGGACGAAGGGCAGGGCCAGCGAGGUGGAUGGGAAGAACUUCACCGUCCACAGCACCACGAGGCAGAUGAUCUGGGUGAGCGUGUACAGGUGCAUGCGCCAGGUUCUCACCUGCAGGCAGAGGCGGGGG